rnacentral:rRNA from 1 species
GACGAACGCUGGCGGCGUGCUUAGCACAUGCAAGUCGAACGGAAAGGCCCUGCUUUUGUGGGGUGCUCGAGUGGCGAACGGGUGAGUAACACGUGAGUAACCUGCCCUUGACUUUGGGAUAACUUCAGGAAACUGGGGCUAAUACCGGAUAGGAGCUCCUGCUGCAUGGUGGGGGUUGGAAAGUUUCGGCGGUUGGGGAUGGACUCGCGGCUUAUCAGCUUGUUGGUGGGGUAGUGGCUUACCAAGGCUUUGACGGGUAGCCGGCCUGAGAGGGUGACCGGCCACAUUGGGACUGAGAUACGGCCCAGACUCCUACGGGAGGCAGAAGUGGGGAAUUUUGCACAAUGGGCGGAAGCCUGAUGCAGCAACGCCGCGUGCGGGAUGACGGCCUUCGGGUUGUAAACCGCUUUCGCCUGGGACGAAGCGUGAGUGACGGUAAUGGGUAAAGAAGCACCGGCUAACUACGUG